GAUGAACGCUGGCGGCGUGCCUAAUACAUGCAAGUCGAGCGAACAGACGAGGAGCUUGCUCCUCUGACGUUAGCGGCGGACGGGUGAGUAACACGUGGAUAACCUACCUAUAAGACUGGGAUAACUUCGGGAAACCGGAGCUAAUACCGGAUAAUAUAUUGAACCGCAUGGUUCAAUAGUGAAAGACGGUUUUGCUGUCACUUAUAGAUGGAUCCGCGCCGCAUUAGCUAGUUGGUAAGGUAACGGCUUACCAAGGCAACGAUGCGUAGCCGACCUGAGAGGGUGACCGGCAAAACGGGAACUGAGACAGGGUCAAGACUCCAACGGGAGGCAGCAGUAGGGAAUCUUCCGCAAUGGGCGAAAGCCUGACGGAGCAACGCCGCGUGAGUGAUGAAGGUCUUCGGAUCGUAAAACUCUGUUAUUAGGGAAGAACAAAUGUGUAAGUAACUAUGCACGUCUUGAGGGUACCUAAUCAGAAGGCCACGGCUAACUACGUG
rnacentral:rRNA from 1 species